ensembl:antisense 6530409C15Rik RIKEN cDNA 6530409C15 gene
GGCGCGGCAGCUGGAGGCGGCCUGGCGCGUGGUGACGGCGCCCGCGGGCGGACGCAGGAUGGCGGCGCUGCGGGGCGACGGCUUCGCCAGGCUUCGGCCCGCACGGGCGCAGCGGACCCCAGGGAAGAAAGACAAAGACACGCCGGUUAGCAACGGGCGGGAACCGCGCAGCCCGGGGCCGAGGCGCCGCGUCCCCACCCCGCACCCUUCAGAGCAUGGAGUGAACCAAUAACGAAGCUGCCUUGAAAAAGAAGGGAAAGGAGCUGCCCGAUCUUGUGGAAAUGAUUGACGGUGACACUUGUGGCACUUUCUCUGGGGGAUCAAGCAAUGGAGAUCUCCAGUUUGUACAGGCUUUUGGCAUUACGCGAGUAGUUUUACGCAGGAGAAACCGAGUUACUUAGGAAAAGACUUCUUAGAGACAACGCAGAAAGCCGAGUAGCUCUGGUGAAGGAGAGCAAAGACACUGGGGAGAAAAAACCGGACUUACCUGGUUCGCAGCAUCCGUGAUGAUGGUGGUCCGUUUGACAGUAUUUGUCCCUCAAAGGCAUUUUUAACGGGUGCGACCUAUUUUCCUUUCACUGUGAGAAGCUCUUCAUUGCGGCUUGGCUGUGGACAGAGAAGCACAAACCCAU